rnacentral:rRNA from 1 species
UACGGGGGGAGCAAGCGUUGUUCGGAUUUACUGGGCGUAAAGGGCGCGUAGGCGGUCGUGACAAGUCACUUGUGAAAUCUCCGGGCUUAACUCGGAACGGUCAAGUGAUACUGUCGGACUAGAGUACAGAAGGGGCAACUGGAAUUCUCGGUGUAGCGGUGAAAUGGCGUAGAUAUCUGGAGGAACACCGGUGGCGAAGGCGGCAUCCUGGACCGGCAUUGACGCUGAGGCGCGAAAGCUAGGGGAGCAAACGGGG